rnacentral:rRNA from 1 species
ACUUUAAUUGAAGAGUUUGAUCAUGGCUCAGAUUGAACGCUGGCGGCAGGCCUAACACAUGCAAGUCGAGCGGGGUUUUC